AUACGGAGGGUGCAAGCGUUAUCCGGAAUCAUUGGGUUUAAAGGGUCCGUAGGCGGACUAUUAAGUCAGAGGUGAAAUCCCACAGCUCAACUGUGGAACUGCCUUUGAUACUGGUAGUCUUGAGUUAUAUAGAAGUAGAUAGAAUGUGUAGUGUAGCGGUGAAAUGCAUAGAUAUUACACAGAAUACCGAUUGCGAAGGCAGUCUACUACGUAUAUACUGACGCUAAGGGACGAAAGCGUGGGGAGCGAACAGGAUUAGAAACCCUAGUAGUCC
rnacentral:rRNA from 1 species